UACGUAAGGUGCGAGCGUUGUCCGGAAUUAUUGGGCGUAAAGAGCUUGUAGGCGGUUUGUCGCGUCUGCCGUGAAAAUCCGGGGCUCAACCCCGGACUUGCGGUGGGUACGGGCAGACUAGAGUGUGGUAGGGGAGACUGGAAUUCCUGGUGUAGCGGUGAAAUGCGCAGAUAUCAGGAGGAACACCGAUGGCGAAGGCAGGUCUCUGGGCCACUACUGACGCUGAGAAGCGAAAGCGUGGGGAGCGAACAGG
rnacentral:rRNA from 1 species